rnacentral:rRNA from 1 species
CCUACGGGAGGCAGCAGUGGGGAAUAUUGCACAAUGGGGGAAACCCUGAUGCAGCGACGCCGCGUGAGUGAAGAAGUAUCUCGGUACGUAAAGCUCUAUCAGUAGGGAAGUAAAUGACGGUACCUGACCAAGAAGCCCCGGCUAAAUAAGUGCCAGCAGCCGCGGUAAUACGUAGGGGGCAAGCGUUAUCCGGAUUUACUGGGUGUAAAGGGAGCGUAGACGGCAGCGCAAGUCUGGAGUGAAAUCCCAUGGCUUAACCAUGGAACUGCUUUGGAAACUGUGCAGCUUGAGUGCAGGAGAGGUAAGCGGAAUUCCUAGUGUAGCGGUGAAAUGCGUAGAUAUUAGGAAGAACACCAGUGGCGAAGGCAGCUUACUGGACUGUAACUGACGUUGAGGCUCGAAAGCGUGGGGAGCAAACAGGAUUAGAUACCCUUGUAGUC